AGUGAACGCUGGCGGCAGGCCUAACACAUGCAAGUCGAACGGUAACAGAAAGCAGCUUGCUGCUUUGCGGACGAGUGGCGGACGGGUGAGUAAUGUCUGGGAAACUGCCUGAUGGAGGGGGAUAACUACUGGAAACGGUAGCUAAUACCGCAUAACGUAGCAAGACCAAAGAGGGGGACCUUCGGGCCUCUUGCCAUAGGAUGUGCCCAGAUGGGAUUAGCUAGUAGGUGGGGUAACGGCUCACCUAGGCGACGAUCCCUAGCUGGUCUGAGAGGAUGACCAGCCACACUGGAACUGAGACACGGUCCAGACUCCUACGGGAGGCAGCAGUGGGGAAUAUUGCACAAUGGGCGCAAGCCUGAUGCAGCCAUGCCGCGUGUAUGAAGAAGGCCUUCGGGUUGUAAAGUACUUUCAGCGGGGAGGAAGGGAGUAAAGUUAAUACCUUUGCUCAUUGACGUUACCCGCAGAAGAAGCACCGGCUAACUCCGUG
rnacentral:rRNA from 1 species